CUUUAACGUUUAAGCAUCGAAAAUAUCGUACACGACCCCAAAAACCUAAUUUAGUCAUGUAGUCAGACAUGUAUUCUCACAGUAAUCGCUGUACAAAUAAAAAUAUUGCAGUUAACAUUGGCUAAACAUACGAACAAAUAACUCACGAAAUAUAAACAAACACUCGAAUAUCGGAAAAGGCAUCAGUUACCUUUAAAGCAUUCUCCAUCGUUUCAACAGAACUGAACUUACUGCAAAGACAGAAUUCUCAAGAUUCCUCAAGCCUUGACGAUUUACACCACUUACAGAAUCUGCCCUGCAUCAAGAGUAAAAAUAUUAUCAUUAUCAUCUGCAACAUGAAAUGCUGUCUGACCUACACGAAGUAAAGAUUGCAUGAAAUCUACAUUACUUAACAUGUAUGGAACAUACUCAAUGUGGCUACCAUACGAUUUACCGCUUUGGACAGAAUAAAGAAACAGGAAGUGAAAUUUGAAAGGAUGUUGUUGUUUUGGUUAGAGUUAAAAACAAAUUGUAAUUAGUUGAAUGUUGUACGUGGAACCAAUCGGUUCUUAUUGUAAAUUGAGCAUAAUUUGGUAUGUUUGAUUAAAUAAAGUUUAAUUUUAAGUUGUAUAGCAACUUGAUAGUCAUA